GACGAACGCUGGCGGCGUGCUUAACACAUGCAAGUCGAACGGAAAGGCCCUGCUUUUGUGGGGUGCUCGAGUGGCGAACGGGUGAGUAACACGUGAGUAACCUGCCCUUGACUUUGGGAUAACUUCAGUAAACUGGGGCUAAUACCGGAUAGGAGCUCCUGCUGCAUGGUGGGGGUUGGAAAGUUUCGGCGGUUGGGGAUGGACUCGCGGCUUAUCAGCUUGUUGGUGGGGUAGUGGCUUACCAAGGCUUUGACGGGUAGCCGGCCUGAGAGGGUGACCGGCCACAUUGGGACUGAGAUACGGCCCAGACUCCUACGGGAGGCAGCAGUGGGGAAUAUUGCACAAUGGGCGGAAGCCUGAUGCAGCAACGCCGCGUGCGGGAUGACGGCCUUCGGGUUGUAAACCGCUUUCGCCUGUGACGAAGCGUGAGUGACGGUAAUGGGGAAAGAAGCACCGGCUAACUACGU
rnacentral:rRNA from 1 species